AGCAGCCGCGGUAAUUCCAGCUCCAAUAGCGUAUAUUAAAGUUGUUGCAGUUAAAAAGCUCGUAGUUGAAUUUCGGGAUCAAUAUGUCGGUCGUGCCUUCGGUACGUACUGGCAUCAUUGGUUUCUCCCUUCUGACAAACCAUGAUGUCAUUAAUUUGGUGUUAUGGGGAGUUAGGACUGUUACUUUGAAAAAAUUAGAGUGUUUAAAGCAGGCAUUAGCUUGAAUACAUUAGCAUGGAAUAAUGAAAUAGGACGUUUGACCCUAUUUUGUUGGUUUCUAGGAUCGACGUAAUGAUUAAUAGGGAUAGUUGGGGGCAUUAGUAUUCAAUUGUCAGAGGUGAAAUUCUUGGAUUUAUUGAAGACUAACUACUGCGAAAGCAUUUGCCAAGGAUGUUUUCAUUAAUCAAGAACGAAAGUUAGGGGAUCGAAGACGAUCAGAUACCGUCGUAGUCUUAACCAUAAACUAUGCCGACUAGGGAUCGGAUGAUGUUAAUUUUUAAUGACUCAUUCGGCGCCUUAC
rnacentral:rRNA from 1 species